GGUUAUAACCCAAGAUCUAAAGAUUUCAUUGAGAUAAAUAGAAAAUUCUAAGCAGUUUAUUCAUAUAAUUCAAAUUCUACUGAUCCUUCUUUUUGCCUUAUAUCUUGAAAUGAGGAUUAUAACGACCUAAUUGGAGAUAUUGGUGACAUCAUUAAAGGUUCUUCUUUCUACUUAGUUGAAACCGAAACCUGGAAGCUAGCGGAUCUCGGAUCUCAGAGCUGACGGAUCUCAGAGCUGCACUUCUCAACGGAAAAAAUAACGGUAAAAAUAGAUUUCCAUAAGCCCCGGGGAAGACUGGCAGAUUUCUUUCUAUAUUACUAGAUUUUAAAUCUAUUUUAUACAGAGGCCCAGGGCGUGUACAUGGACCACAAUUGACUGCAAAGGUUAACCCUACUGAUUCGAAUGUAAUCUACCUACUCCGUAACAGUCUUAUUUAAUUAAUCUCUGACUUUUAAAAGUUUAAUCUGGGAAAUCACAUAUCUGAAAUUAAGACUUGAAAUUAUGCAACAUCAAGUAUAUGCAAUUUAAAUAUCACGCCUCUGACAGUAAGGCUUGAAGUUAUGUAAUAUUAAUUAUUUGCAAUUUAAAUACUUUGUUUGAGUGCCUGUUUAUACGGCUUAAAUCCCAAGUCUGGAACUCCAAUGAUUCUCAUUCUGGAAUUAAAACUUUAUCAACAUAUUAUAUUUUAAAUCCCAAGAGCCUUAAUAUCAAAGGGAAAUAUAUGAACUUUCUCUUCCUUCUUCACAAUUUGUUUUCUAUACCUAGUUAAACUGAUACCUGGAGGAUAAAUGAGCGGCGAAACUCAGAGGAUCUGGCGGAUCCCAUAGCUUCACCUCUCAGCGGAAAAUAACGGUAAAAAAAUAUAUUUCCAUAAGUUCCCUGGAAGACUGGCAGAUUUCCUGCAUUAUAGGCGAAUUUUUAAUCCUUUUUAUACAGAGAGCAGGGACGUGCACAAGGAUCAUUUUGGAUUAUAAAGGUCGAACCCCUUUUGAACCAGAACUAAUGUACAUGCUAUUUAAAAUUAUCCAAUUAAAAUUUCAAUUCAAAGUUUGCUAUGACAUUUGUCUAAGUUUAAAGAUUAAAGAUAAAAUCUAUCAACAUGCUUAAUUAAAACCCCGACAGACUCGAAUUUUUUCCUUUCGUCAUGGUUCUCUCUUUACCUAGUUAAACUGAAACCUGGAGGACGAAUGAGCGGAGAACCUCAGAGGACCUAGCGGAUCCUACAGCUUCAUCACUCAGUACAUAAUAACGUCUGUGGAAACUGUAACGCCUCCUGAACCGUCAAACCUCACCGCCGAGAAAUCAUGAUGUCUCAAGAAGAGGAGAUAACUACGCUACAUCGAUAUCUCUAAAUCCUUGCACAAUAUAAACGUGCACCAUACCUUGCUAUACCUUGAUGAUUUGAGAGAAAUGAAGAGGAUCCAAGGAUCCCUAAACUCAAAUUUCUAAUUAAAAUAAAAAACAUAAAAUGCAUCCGUAUGAUUUUUUAUUAUUUAAUUUAAGAAUAUAUGUACACGAUAGUUUCGUAAAAUAGUUGUAUUAAAUACAUGUGAACAAUUUUGUACAAUUAAUAUAAUCUCGAUACG
rnacentral:lncRNA from 1 species